rnacentral:rRNA from 1 species
GGUUAAGCGACUAAGCGUACACGGUGGAUGCCCUGGCAGUCAGAGGCGAUGAAGGACGUGCUAAUCUGCGAAAAGCGUCGGUAAGGUGAUAUGAACCGUUAUAACCGGCGAUGUCCGAAUGGGGAAACCCAGUGUGAUUCGUCACACUAUCGUUAACUGAAUACAUAGGUUAACGAGGCGAACCGGGGGAACUGAAACAUCUAAGUACCCCGAGGAAAAGAAAUCAACCGAGAUUCCCCCAGUAGCGGCGAGCGAACGGGGAGCAGCCCAGAGUCUGAAUCAGCUUGUGUGUUAGUGGAACGGUCUGGAAAGUCCGACGGUACAGGGUGAUAGUCCCGUACACCAAAAUGCACAGGUUGUGAACUCGAAGAGUAGGGCGGGACACGUGGUAUCCUGUCUGAAUAUGGGGGGACCAUCCUCCAAGGCUAAAUACUCCUGACUGACCGAUAGUGAACCAGUACCGUGAGGGAAAGGCGAAAAGAACCCCGGCGAGGGGAGUGAAAAAGAACCUGAAACCGUGUACGUACAAGCAGUGGGAGCACCUUCGGGUGUGACUGCGUACCUUUUGUAUAAUGGGUCAGCGACUUAUAUUCUGUAGCAAGGUUAACCGUAUAGGGGAGCCGCAGGGAAACCGAGUCUUAACUGGGCGUUAAGUUGCAGGGUAUAGACCCGAAACCCGGUGAUCUAGCCAUGGGCAGGUUGAAGGUUGGGUAACACUAACUGGAGGACCGAACCGACUAAUGUUGAAAAAUUAGCGGAUGACUUGUGGCUGGGGGUGAAAGGCCAAUCAAACCGGGAGAUAGCUGGUUCUCCCCGAAAGCUAUUUAGGUAGCGCCUCGUGAAUUCAUCUUCGGGGGUAGAGCACUGUUUCGGCUAGGGGGUCAUCCCGACUUACCAACCCGAUGCAAACUACGAAUACCGAAGAAUGUUAUCACGGGAGACACACGGCGGGUGCUAACGUCCGUCGUGAAGAGGGAAACAACCCAGACCGCCAGCUAAGGUCCCAAAGUCAUGGUUAAGUGGGAAACGAUGUGGGAAGGCACAGACAGCCAGGAUGUUGGCUUAGAAGCAGCCAUCAUUUAAAGAAAGCGUAAUAGCUCACUGGUCGAGUCGGCCUGCGCGGAAGAUGUAACGGGGCUAAACCAUGCACCGAAGCUGCGGCAGCGACACUAUGUGUUGUUGGGUAGGGGAGCGUUCUGUAAGCCUGCGAAGGUGGCCUGUGAGGGUUGCUGGAGGUAUCAGAAGUGCGAAUGCUGACAUAAGUAACGAUAAAGCGGGUGAAAAGCCCGCUCGCCGGAAGACCAAGGGUUCCUGUCCAACGUUAAUCGGGGCAGGGUGAGUCGACCCCUAAGGCGAGGCCGAAAGGCGUAGUCGAUGGGAAACAGGUUAAUAUUCCUGUACUUGGUGUUACUGCGAAGGGGGGACGGAGAAGGCUAUGUUAGCCGGGCGACGGUUGUCCCGGUUUAAGCAUGUAGGCGGAGGUUCCAGGUAAAUCCGGUACCUUUUAACGCUGAGGUGUGAUGACGAGGCACUACGGUGCUGAAGUAACAAAUGCCCUGCUUCCAGGAAAAGCCUCUAAGCAUCAGGUAACAUUAAAUCGUACCCCAAACCGACACAGGUGGUCAGGUAGAGAAUACCAAGGCGCUUGAGAGAACUCGGGUGAAGGAACUAGGCAAAAUGGUGCCGUAACUUCGGGAGAAGGCACGCUGGUGUGUAGGUGAAGUCCCUGCGGACGGAGCUGAGACCAGUCGAAGAUACCAGCUGGCUGCAACUGUUUAUUAAAAACACAGCACUGUGCAAACACGAAAGUGGACGUAUACGGUGUGACGCCUGCCCGGUGCCGGAAGGUUAAUUGAUGGGGUUAUCCGUAAGGAGAAGCUCUUGAUCGAAGCCCCGGUAAACGGCGGCCGUAACUAUAACGGUCCUAAGGUAGCGAAAUUCCUUGUCGGGUAAGUUCCGACCUGCACGAAUGGCGUAAUGAUGGCCAGGCUGUCUCCACCCGAGACUCAGUGAAAUUGAACUCGCUGUGAAGAUGCAGUGUACCCGCGGCAAGACGGAAAGACCCCGUGAACCUUUACUAUAGCUUGACACUGAACAUUGAGCCUUGAUGUGUAGGAUAGGUGGGAGGCUUUGAAGCGUGGACGCCAGUCUGCGUGGAGCCAACCUUGAAAUACCACCCUUUAAUGUUUGAUGUUCUAACGUUGGCCCCUUAUCGGGGUUGCGGACAGUGUCUGGUGGGUAGUUUGACUGGGGCGGUCUCCUCCCAAAGAGUAACGGAGGAGCACGAAGGUUAGCUAAUCCUGGUCGGACAUCAGGAGGUUAGUGCAAUGGCAUAAGCUAGCUUGACUGCGAGCGUGACGGCGCGAGCAGGUGCGAAAGCAGGUCAUAGUGAUCCGGUGGUUCUGAAUGGAAGGGCCAUCGCUCAACGGAUAAAAGGUACUCCGGGGAUAACAGGCUGAUACCGCCCAAGAGUUCAUAUCGACGGCGGUGUUUGGCACCUCGAUGUCGGCUCAUCACAUCCUGGGGCUGAAGUAGGUCCCAAGGGUAUGGCUGUUCGCCAUUUAAAGUGGUACGCGAGCUGGGUUUAGAACGUCGUGAGACAGUUCGGUCCCUAUCUGCCGUGGGCGCUGGAGAAUUGAGGGGGGCUGCUCCUAGUACGAGAGGACCGGAGUGGACGCAUCACUGGUGUUCGGGUUGUCAUGCCAAUGGCACUGCCCGGUAGCUAAAUGCGGAAGAGAUAAGUGCUGAAAGCAUCUAAGCACGAAACUUGCCCCGAGAUGAGUUCUCCCUGAGACUAUAAGUCUCCUGAAGGAACGUUGAAGACGACGACGUUGAUAGGCCGGGUGUGUAAGCGCAGCGAUGCGUUGAGCUAACCGGUACUAAUGAACCGUGAGGCUUAACCUU